CCUACGGGAGGCAGCAGUGAGGAAUAUUGGUCAAUGGACGAGAGUCUGAACCAGCCAAGUAGCGUGAAGGAUGACUGCCCUAUGGGUUGUAAACUUCUUUUAUAUGGGAAUAAAAUGUUCCACGUGUGGGAUUUUGUAUGUACCAUCUGAAUAAGGAUCGGCUAACUCCGUGCCAGCAGCCGCGGUAAUACGGAGGAUCCGAGCGUUAUCCGGAUUUAUUGGGUUUAAAGGGAGCGUAGGUGGAUUGUUAAGUCAGUUGUGAAAGUUUGCGGCUCAACCGUAAAAUUGCAGUUGAAACUGGCAGUCUUGAGGACAGUAGAGGUGGGCGGAAUUCGUGGUGUAGCGGUGAAAUGCUUAGAUAUCACGAAGAACUCCGAUUGCGAAGGCAGUUCACUGGACUGCAACUGACACUGAGGCUCGAAAGUGUGGGUAUCAAACAGGAGUAGAUACCCUAGUAGUC
rnacentral:rRNA from 1 species